rnacentral:rRNA from 1 species
GACGAACGCUGGCGGCAUGCUUAACACAUGCAAGUCGAACGGUAAGGCCCUUCGGGGUACACGAGUGGCGAACGGGUGAGUAACACGUGAGUAACCUGCCCCCGACUUUGGAAUAAGCGCUCGAAAGGGCGUCUAAUACCGAAUAGUUCCUCAGUGGGCAUCCACUGAGGCGAAAAGCUCCGGCGGUUGGGGGUGGACUCGCGUCCUAUCAGCUUGUUGGUGAGGUAACGGCUCACCAAGGCUUCGACGGGUAGCCGGCCUGAGAGGGCGACCGGCCACACUGGGACUGAGAUACGGCCCAGACUCCUACGGGAGGCAGCAGUGGGGAAUAUUGCGCAAUGGGCGAAAGCCUGACGCAGCAAUGCCGCGUGCGGGAUGACGGCCUUCGGGUUGUAAACCGCUUUCAGCCAUGACGAAGCGAAAGUGACGGUAAUGGAAGAAGAAGCACCGGCCAACUACGUGCCAGCAGCCGCGGUGAUACGUAGGGUGCGAGCGUUGUCCGGAAUCAUUGGGCGUAAAGAGCUUGUAGGCGGUUUGUCACGUCGGAAGUGAAAACUCAGGGCUUAACUCUGAGCCUGCUUCCGAUACGGGCUGACUAGAGGAAGGUAGGGGAGAACGGAAUUCCUGGUGGAGCGGUGGAAUGCGCAGAUAUCAGGAGGAACACCGGUGGCGAAGGCGGUUCUCUGGACCUUUCCUGACGCUGAGAAGCGAAAGCGUGGGGAGCAAACAGGCUUAGAUACCCUGGUAGUCCACGCCGUAAACGGUGGCACUAGGUGUGGGGAACAUUCCACGUUCUCCGUGCCGCAGCUAACGCAUUAAGUGCCCCGCCUGGGGAGUACGGCCGCAAGGCUAAAACUCAAGGGAAUUGACGGGGGCCCGCACAAGCGGCGGAGCAUGCGGAUUAAUUCGAUGCAACGCGAAGAACCUUACCUGGGUUUGACAUAUACCGGAAACACCUAGAGAUAGGUGCCCCUUAUGGUCGGUAUACAGGUGGUGCAUGGCUGUCGUCAGCUCGUGUCGUGAGAUGUUGGGUUAAGUCCCGCAACGAGCGCAACCCUCGUCCUAUGUUGCCAGCAAUUCGGUUGGGGACUCAUAGGAGACUGCCGGGGUCAACUCGGAGGAAGGUGGGGAUGAGGUCAAGUCAUCAUGCCCCUUAUGUCCAGGGCUUCACGCAUGCUACAAUGGCUGGUACAAAGGGCAGCGAACCUGCGAAGGUAAGCGAAUCCCAUAAAGCCAGUCUCAGUUCGGAUUGGGGUCUGCAACUCGACCCCAUGAAGUCGGAGUCGCUAGUAAUCGCAGAUCAGCAACGCUGCGGUGAAUACGUUCCCGGGCCUUGUACACACCGCCCGUCAAGUCAUGAAAGUCGGCAACACCCGAAGCCGGUGGCCCAACCAUUUGGAGGGAGCCGUCGAAGGUGGGGCUGGUAAUUAGGACUAAGUCGUAACAAGGUAGCCGUACCGGAAGG